CCCAAGUGCAAUUUUGUACGGUUUAUAUAUACAAAGUUUGACAGUUCGUCUUAUUUAAAAAAAAUAUAAUAUUUUUAUUGUUAUUAGAUGAUAAAAUAUGAAUAAUAUUUUAUGUGUAACUAUUUUUUUAUUUUUUUAUAAAUUUUUUAAAUAAGAUAGAAGGUCAAAUAUUGAACACAUAUAUCCACGGCUGUACUUAUU
rnacentral:pre_miRNA from 1 species